AUCAUUGCAGAUGAAACAUCACAUCAUUGACAAGAGUUUAAAGCUUUAACAUUGUACCAGGGAGUCAUUGAGAGUAAUACUGUGAAGUUCAGGAUAGAGAAGAGAUCAAUUAUAAAUCCCCAAAUGAGGCAAGCAUCCAAUAGAGGAUUAUUCCAACUGGGGAUUGAUGCAUUGGCUCACUGCCACUUCAGCUAGAACAAAUUUAAAUUCAUAGCACUGCUGGUGGGAAAAUACAAGUGGGACCCACUACAGUUGCCAGCCCCCAUCAAGGUGGUAAAUACACCACUGUAACUACUAAAAGUUGCAAAAGGAAAGCCAGCCUGUAGUUUAUCUAUAAUAGCUUAAAGAGUUACCAAGGCUUCCCUUAAUCAUUUUUGUUUUCAUGAUUUAACACCUGAUUGUUUGAUAUUGGUAAUUUUAAACAAAUUUUUCACUUCCUCUAAAAUAUAAACCUGUCACAGUG
rnacentral:lncRNA from 1 species